GUGUGAUACAAACCAAGUCUUCAAGAAAAAAAAAAACAAAACUGGAACCAACAUAAAAAAUUUAAAUAUAUUUACACUUAUGUAUACUAAUAAUUAGAAGAUAUCUGUAGAAGAAACUGUAUUAUGCUAUUCAUGAACAUUCUACAGGCCAUGGACUGAAAUUCUGGCAGGAAAUUUCAAGUUCUGUUAAUCUUGAAGGGAAGUAUUUCCUGGAAUUGGCACAACAAAUAAGUGAUUUAAGAAGUGAAGAUAACAUGAGUUUUGGAUACUAAAAUGGGCUCCACCAUUGAGAUCUUCUGAGCUUAAUCGGGGCUGUGUCUGUGGUUUGAAGUUCUCAGCGGCAGCCUCUUAACAACAAUACAGACACACUGUGUACAUUCAGCAGGGACAGAGGACGCCCAUAGAGGAAUAGUCUACCUGCUACAGUGUGGGGUUACAAAGUUACCACCUGCUGCAGUGUGGUGGUUACAAUGUUACUGUGUGGCACACAAAGUAACAGAGUUUCAUAGAUUGGGGGUGCCUGGGGUCUUUAUGGCAUUUCUCUAUGGGGAGGUGGUG
rnacentral:lncRNA from 1 species